CGCAGUCGACCACUGAAGACGUUCUUUGCCGGAGACGGAUUGGCGGCAGCGAGAAGGCAGUGCAGGUGUGCGAGUUACUUUAAGGCUUUGAAAAACCUGGCAAUGAAUUAUUCUGGCUGAGUUCUGUCGCUUAUCAAGCAAAAAUCUGAGUUGCAAUCAGAGUUCUUCAAAGAUCUCGACAAAUACACUCCUCGCUUCCUGGAGAAGUUCAAGACCCAGAGGGGGAAAGUGUUGGACAGAAACUUGAAUAUCUGCAACAAGUCACACCUGGGGACUCUGAUGACCUUCUGGACGUGUCCCACACCUCCAUUGGGACCCUGACGGUGCUGAAGACAUCGUGGCCUCCUCACUCGCUGAACCUGGAGUCUACAACUACUGCCAUCGUUUUGGGAGGAACAGUCGUGAUAAUCUUCCCCGUGCCGUGUGGCUACUCUUCGGACUUAUUUACCCCUGAAUUUGGAGUAUCCUCAACGAGUGAGGAACACCUUCUGAAUUUAUUCAUAGAGUGCUUCUCACUUGGACCAAAAACCCUAAAAUACAAUCACUCAAAAAUCUACUGAUGCCAUAAGGGACUGUGUUCAUGAUGUGCAGUCAGGCCCGAGAACUUCACCCUUCUAUCUCCAAUAGAAGUCUUUUAUAGAAAAUGUCUGUUUUUGUUGUUUUUCUGUAGUGAAAUUUAGCAAAUGCCGAAAACGCUGUGAUCAUCAUAUUUCUGCGUUACAAAACCUAAUCUGGCAACAUGUUCAGCGUUUUAAGCACGUUGUUUGAGUUCUAAAACGUGUUUUUCUUCUAAAUAAACUUUGUCUUCCAUUGUAA